CGGUUUGUCGCGUCUGCUGUGAAAACGCAAGGCUUAACCUUGCGCCUGCAGUGGGUACGGGCAGACUAGAGUGCGGUAGGGGAGACUGGAAUUCCUGGUGUAGCGGUGGAAUGCGCAGAUAUCAGGAGGAACACCGAUGGCGAAGGCAGGUCUCUGGGCCGUUACUGACGCUGAGGAGCGAAAGCAUGGGGAGCGAACAGGAUUAGAUACCCUGGUAGUCCAUGCCGUAAACGUUGGGCACUAGGUGUGGGGUCCAUUCCACGGAUUCCGCGCCGCAGCUAACGCAUUAAGUGCCCCGCCUGGGGAGUACGGCCGCAAGGCUAAAACUCAAAGGAAUUGACGGGGGCCCGCACAAGCGGCGGAGCAUGCGGAUUAAUUCGAUGCAACGCGAAGAACCUUACCAAGGCUUGACAUACACCGGAAGCGUGCAGAGAUGUGCGUGCCUUACGGCUGGUGUACAGGUGGUGCAUGGUUGUCGUCAGCUCGUGUCGUGAGAUGUUGGGUUAAGUCCCGCAACGAGCGCAACCCUUGUCCUAUGUUGCCAGCGGGUUAUGCCGGGGACUCAUAGGAGACUGCCGGGGUCAACUCGGAGGAAGGUGGGGAUGACGUCAAAUCAUCAUGCCCCUUAUGUCUUGGGCUUCACGCAUGCUACAAUGGCCGGUACAAUGGGUUGCGAUACCGUGAGGUGGAGCGAAUCCCAAAAAGCCGGUCUCAGUUCGGAUUGGGGUCUGCAACUCGACCC
rnacentral:rRNA from 1 species